rnacentral:rRNA from 1 species
AGGUGCUGCAUGGCUGUCGUCAGCUCGUGUCGUGAGAUGUUGGGUUAAGUCCCGCAACGAGCGCAACCCUUGUCCUUAGUUGCCAUCAUUAAGUUGGGAACUCUAAGGAGACCGCCGGUGACAAACCGGAGGAAGGUGGGGAUGACGUCAAGUCAUCAUGGCCUUUAUGGCCAGGGCUACACACGUGCUACAAUGGCAGGUACAAAGGGUUGCCAACCCGCGAGGGGGAGCUAAUCCCAUAAAACCAGUCGUAGUCCGGAUCGCAGUCUGCAACUCGACUGCGUGAAGUCGGAAUCGCUAGUAAUCGUGGAUCANAAUGUCACGGUGAAUAC